rnacentral:rRNA from 1 species
CUACGGGUGGCUGCAGUGGGGAAUUUUGGACAAUGGGGGCAACCCUGAUCCAGCCAUUCCGCGUGAGUGAAGAAGGCCUUCGGGUUGUAAAGCUCUUUCGCAAGGGAAGAAACGAUGCAGUCUAAUAAGCUGUGUUAAUGACGGUACCUUGAUAAGAAGCACCGGCUAACUACGUGCCAGCAGCCGCGGUAAUACGUAGGGUGCGAGCGUUAAUCGGAAUUACUGGGCGUAAAGCGUGCGCAGGCGGUUUUGAAAGUCAGAUGUGAAAUCCCCGGGCUCAACCUGGGAACUGCGUUUGAAACUCCAAAGCUAGAGUAUAGGAGAGGGGGGUAGAAUUCCACGUGUAGCAGUGAAAUGCGUAGAGAUGUGGAGGAAUACCAAUGGCGAAGGCAGCCCCCUGGCUUAAUACUGACGCUGAGGUGCGAAAGCGUGGGGAGCAAACAGGAUUAGAUACCCCCGUAGUC